GACGAACCGAGCGAACGUUGUUCGGAAUCACUGGGCUUAAAGAGCGUGUAGGCGGCUUUGCAAGUCCGUUGUGAAAACUCGAGGCUCAACCUCGAGACGCCGGUGGAAACUGCAAAGCUAGAGUCCGGAAGAGGAGAGUGGAAUUCCUGGUGUAGCGGUGAAAUGCGCAGAUAUCAGGAAGAACACCCGUGGCGAAGGCGGCUCUCUGGGACGGUACUGACGCUGAGACGCGAAAGCGUGGGGAGCGAACAGG
rnacentral:rRNA from 1 species